rnacentral:rRNA from 1 species
UACGGAGGGAGCUAGCGUUGUUCGGAAUUACUGGGCGUAAAGCGCACGUAGGCGGCGAUUCAAGUCAGAGGUGAAAGCCCGGGGCUCAACCCCGGAACUGCCUUUGAAACUAGAUUGCUAGAAUCCUGGAGAGGUGAGUGGAAUUCCGAGUGUAGAGGUGAAAUUCGUAGAUAUUCGGAAAAACAUCAGUAGCGAAGGCGGGUCUCUGGGCUGACACUGACGCUCAUGCACGAAAGCGUGGGGAGCAAACAGG